rnacentral:rRNA from 1 species
GAUGAACGCUGGCGGCGUGCCUAAUACAUGCAAGUCGAGCGAACGGACGAGAAGCUUGCUUCUCUGAUGUUAGCGGCGGACGGGUGAGUAACACGUGGAUAACCUACCUAUAAGACUGGGAUAACUUCGGGAAACCGGAUCUAAUACCGGAUAAUAUUUUGAACCGCAUGGUUCAAAAGUGAAAGACGGUCUUGCUGUCACUUAUAGAUGGAUCCGCGCUGCAUUAGCUAGUUGGUAAGGUAACGGCUUACCAAGGCAACGAUGCAUAGCCGACCUGAGAGGGUGAUCGGCCACACUGGAACUGAGACACGGUCCAGACUCCUACGGGAGGCAGCAGUAGGGAAUAUUCCGCAAUGGGCGAAAGCAUGACGGAGCAACGCCGCGUGAGUGAUGAAGGUCUUAGGAUCGUAAAACUCUGUUAUUAGGGAAGAACAUAUGUGUAAGUAACUGUGAAAAUAUUGACGGUAACUAAUCAGAAAGCCACGGCUAACUACGUG